rnacentral:tRNA from 1 species
GAGGUUGUGGCUCAGUGGUAGAGUGCUCACCUAGCAUAUGUGAGACAUUGGGUUCAAUUAUCAGCACCA